rnacentral:rRNA from 1 species
AAAUUGAAGAGUUUGAUCAUGGCUCAGAUUGAACGCUGGCGGCAGGCCUAACACAUGCAAGUCGAACGGUAACAGGAAUCAGCUUGCUGAUUCGCUGACGAGUGGCGGACGGGUGAGUAAUGUCUGGGAAACUGCCUGAUGGAGGGGGAUAACUACUGGAAACGGUAGCUAAUACCGCAUAAUGUCGCAAGACCAAAGAGGGGGACCUUCGGGCCUCUUACCAUCGGAUGUGCCCAGAUGGGAUUAGCUAGUAGGUGGGGUAACGGCUCACCUAGGCGACGAUC